rnacentral:rRNA from 1 species
GAUGAACGCUGGCGGCGUGCCUAAUACAUGCAAGUCGAGCGAACAGACGAGGAGCUUGCUCCUCUGACGUUAGCGGCGGACGGGUGAGUAACACGUGGAUAACCUACCUAUAAGACUGGGAUAACUUCGGGAAACCGGAGCUAAUACCGGAUCAUAUAUUGAACCGCAUGGUUCAAUAGUGAAAGACGGUUUUGCUGUCACUUAUAGAUGGAUCCGCGCCGCAUUAGCUAGUUGGUAAGGUAACGGCUUACCAAGGCAACGAUGCGUAGCCGACCUGAGAGGGUGAUCGGCCACACUGGAACUGAGACACGGUCCAGACUCCUACGGGAGGCAGCAGUAGGGAAUCUUCCGCAAUGGGCGAAAGCCUGACGGAGCAACGCCGCGUGAGUGAUGAAGGUCUUCGGAUCGUAAAACUCUGUUAUUAGGGAAGAAAAAAAGUGUAAGUAACUAUGCACGUCUUGACGGUACCUAAUCAGAAAGCCACGGCUAACUACGUG